CAGCCGCCGCGGUAAUACGGAGGGUGCAAGCGUUAAUCGGAAUUACUGGGCGUAAAGCGUGUGUAGGCGGUUCGUUAAGUCUGUUGUGAAAGCCCCGGGCUCAACCUGGGAAUGGCAAUGGAUACUGGCGAGCUAGAGUGUGUCAGAGGAUGGUGGAAUUCCCGGUGUAGCGGUGAAAUGCGUAGAGAUCGGGAGGAACAUCAGUGGCGAAGGCGGCCAUCUGGGACAACACUGACGCUGAGGCACGAAAGCGUGGGGAGCAAACAGGAUUAGAUACCCCCGUAGUCCCUGUCUCUUAUAC
rnacentral:rRNA from 1 species